CAGCACCUCAAGUGGUCAGGAUGAUUAUUGGGCCUAAAGCAUCCGUACCCGGCGCUGUAAGUUUUCGGUUAAAUCUGUACGCUCAACGUACAGGCUGCCGGGAAUACUGCAGCGCUAGGGAGUGGGAGAGGUAGACGGUACUCGGUAGGAAGGGGUAAAAUCCUUUGAUCUAUUGAUGACCACCUGUGGCGAAGGCGGUCUACCAGAACACGUCCGACGGUGAGGGAUGAAAGCUGGGGGAGCAAACCGGAUUAGAUACCCGAGUAGUCC
rnacentral:rRNA from 1 species